AGCAGCGUGGCUCAGUGGAAAGAGCAUGGGCUUUGGAGUCAGAGGUCAUGGGUUCAAAUCCCAACUCGGCCA
rnacentral:tRNA from 1 species